UUUUUUUUUUUGUUGUUGGACACUUGAAAUUCUAAUAAAAAACCCUAGUUUACUUGUGACUAACCUUUCCUUUUCCCUUAAUCAUGUUUGAGUUGUGUAGUAGCUUGUAAUUUUGUUUGUGAUGCCUUAUUCAAGUGGUUUUGAUGAUUGGGGUGAUGAAUUUUGAGUUAGGAUUUUGAUUGAUUCACUUAUAAUUCUUAUUGGUUGAAUGGUACUUGGUGUAUAUAAGUUGGUAUAUGAGGUGGUAGUGAUGGUUUUAAACUAGAAAUAGGACUUAUACCUUCAUUGUAGCAAAUUUCCAGAAUUGAAGUUAAGGUAUACCCUGUUCUGCCCGGUUCUAGUUCACCAUGUUAGAGGCUGAAUUUGGCUUAGCUUAAAACAUUAAAGUUGUAGAAAAUGAUGUUUUAUAGUUUUCUACAAAUUUUCAACUCAAUCUGAGUACUGUAGCUAGUGAAAAGACAAAACUACCCCUGACUGCCAUAGGUAGAGCCUUGUGGACAGCGUUGACCUUUCACCAAUCUGACCGCAUCUGUUCACCCUGAUCCGUACUGAAUUAGCCUUUGGCCAAAACAUAGAAGUUGUAGUGCUAUGUCUUAGCUUUCCAACACCCCUAAGAAUGCCUUAAUCGGACUUCGGUAACCUAAGUUUUUGUCGUUUACGUAUAGUGCGGUUAACUAACCUGAGUGUGAGAUUCUGGUUCUGUAAUUUGAAAUUUUUACCUAGCUAAACUACGAACUGGACUGAGUGGUCUUCAUCAAAGUUGUAGCCCUUUACCUUAGAUUCGAAACGGCAUAAAUUGUACCUCAAUCAGAUAAGCGUAGCCUUGGUUGUGUCCGUUACGCAAAACAACGUCAAAUCUGUCUUUUGUUUCUUGACUCAACCUUCAUUUCCGCACAUGCUCCUAGCUUGAUUUUGUGCUUGUAUGACUUGGAGCCUAUGGAAUGGCUAUUGAAAUGAGAUGAUUUUGUGUAUGACUUUGGGAUUGAUUGAGGAAAAUAAUGAAGUCAUAAAUGGCUGAAAAAUAGGUAAAUACAAAGGACGUGCUGCCCAAAUUUACACUCGAAAACUAGGUCGAUAUACUUGCGACUUGAGUAAGGCUUGAGAGGAAUACCACAUGAACCAUCUAGAGUAUUUACGUCUUCUUUUAUCGAAAUAUAUAAGUUAGAAUUCGGCCGAAACUUGUACCCUUGAAAAAAUGAAAUUAUACGUUUUUUUUGUCAUUUCGACUCAAAUGGAGGUUUUAAAGUUUUACGAGUGAGCAUAACUGUUACAAAUAUUUUACUUAUGUCCUUUUGUUUAAAUGUACUAUUUUCACUACCAAAACCAUAUUUAUACUUUGUAAUAGUACGUAUUCGAAUUUUUCCUUGAAUCACUUAAAUCUUUAUAAUGUGUUCUUUUUAUUAUAGUAGGGUUCCUUGGUGAUUGAGGGUGUUAUCCGAAAGAAUACUUUGGACGUUAUUUUGCGUAAAUAGGUGAGUGUUCCUUGUUUGUUAUAUUUUCAUUGACUAUGUGGCUUGUUCUUGAUUAUAUGACUUGUUAUGAACGAAUGAUAACAUGUUAAAUGUUUUUAAUGAUUGCUUAAAAUGAGUUUUCUAGGCGAGUGUGUACUUUAUCGCACUCGACCUAAAUGAAUGUGAAAUUUUUAAUGAUUAGAUAAUUAAAUGCUAGUUGCGCAUGAAUGUAAGCCGUUUGGCUGAACUGGGCCCUUGCCCUUCGUUACUGAUCGACUCGAGCCAGAAGCGGACUCAGUCGGGCGAUUUAGUGACCCUAGGUGAACGUUUGGUAUACUCGAGUAUUACCGUGUAGUCUGGUGGAGCCUGUCCAACGUCCAGGAGGGGGUGAAAUGAAAUGAAUGAACGAAUGUCAAUGUAAAUGAAGGGUUUUACUUAUCAAAAUGCAUUUUCAAACGAAUGGAGGAAUAAGGAAAUGAAAGGAGAAUGAAUGAAUGAAUGAAUGGCUCCAUGUGAGCACGUAUCCUUUUAAUGAAUGUUAUUAUUGCUUUAUAUUGUCAUAUUUCUGGAAUUACUUGCUAUCUUUGGUUAAUGUAUUGAACUCAUUGUUUGUUUAUGUGUCUGGAACCUCACUGGGCUUUUAGCUCAUUCCGUUAGUUUUGUUUUCAUUACAGGGGAUGCGAGCAAGGGCGAGAGACUUGUAUAGAAUAGCAUAGCCUAGUCCUUUUGUAAGGGUUCUCGCCCUAGCACUUGGCAAGGGUUGGAUGUAUGAGGAAUUGGGAACCUUUGUAUAUUUGAAUUUUGUAAUUCCUUUGGAGAUAGGAAUGUAUAUAAGUUUAUGUUUUCAGUUUGGGAUCGGUAUUCGCUUGUUUGGUAAAUUUUAUCUUCAACUCCUUGUGGUGAAUGACUGAGUCCCGGUGAGAAUUGGGCAGGCGGUCCGCCGAACCCUUUGGUUCGCCUUAGGUUAAGGUGGGGCCGUCACAGGUGGUAUCGGAGCUCCUAUCGAGCUAGUGCCGGGAGAGGGUUCUCGGACUGUGGAGAUUGGCUUGUUAAGUGUGAAAUCAAUGUCUAUUGUUGGGGAUCUUAGAUAUGUAUGUUGGGUAAGAAUUUCAAAAGUGGUUGAUUUCCUCUUGAGCCUAGCUAACUCGAGUGGUGAAUUAUCAUAUUUUCGGAUUCUUGUACCCGAGUACCAAAGAGUGAUACCUUUAUGAUAAGUUGGUAUCUCGAGUAAUAUGAGGAUAAGUUUGGAUGGCGGAAGCCAAAGCAAGGGGAUGCGAAAAGUUUGAACUUGGGAUAUAUUGAAGAUAUUAGUGAGAUUGGGGACCCUGAUUAGUCACGCGUACGGACUUGGUUGUAUUUCGUCAAGUUUUGAUUAAGUAUAGUGCCUGAGCAAUACCUAGGGUUAAUGUACCGUAGAAUGUGUGAAUUGCUAUGAUAUGUAUAAAACGAAAGUAUGUUAUUUUCAUUGUGUUUUGAAAAUGCUUGUAUUGAAUCUCAUAGCUAUUUUAUUUUGUUUAUACUUAUUAACGAAUAAAUGUAUGAAUUUCGAGGGCGAAAUUCUUUGAAGGAGGGGAGAUUGUGAUACCCCGAAUUUUAGGACAAUGUUUUUCCCUCGUUCUUUUAAAAUUUCGAUUUAUUUCUUUUGUCUUGUUUUAAAACAUUAUUUUUUUUUUGUUGUUGGACACUUGAAAUUCUAAUCAAAAAUCCUAGUUUACUUGCGACUAACCUUUCCUUUUCCCUUAAUCAUGUUUGAGUUGUGCAGUAACUUGUAAUUUUGCUUGUGACGCCUUAUUCGAGUGGUUUUGAUAAUUGGGGUGAUGAAUUUUGAGUUAGGGUUUUGAUUGAUUCACUUAUAAUUCUUGUUGGUUGAAUGGCACUUGGUGUAUAUAAGUUGGUAUAUGAGGUGGUAGUGAUGGUUUUAAACUAGAAAUGGGACUUAUACCUUGAUUGUAGCAAAUUUCCAGAAUUGAAGUGAAGGUAUACCCUGUUCUACUGGGUUCUAAUUCACCAUGUUAGAGACCGAAUUAGGCUUAGACUAAAACAAGAAAGUUGUAGAGAAUCAUAUUUUACAGUUGCCUGCAAAUUUUCAGCUCAAUCUGAGCACUGUAACUUAUGAAAAAACAAAACUACCCCUGACUACCAUAGGUAGAGCCCUGUGGACAGUGUUGACCUUUCACCAAUCUGACCGCAUCUGUUCACCCUGAUCCAUACUGAAUUAGCCUUUGACCAAAACACAGAAGUUUUAUUACUAUGUCUUAUCUUUCCAACGCCCCUGAAAACGCCUUAAUCGGACUUCGAUAGCCUGAGUUAUUUUCAUUUACGUAUAGUGCGGUUAACUAUCCCGGGUGUGAGAUUCUGGUUCUGUAAUUUGAAAUUUUUACCUAGCUACACUACGAACUGGACUGAGUGGUCUUCAUCAAAGUUGUAGCCCUUUACCUUAGCUUCGAAAUGGUAUAAAUUUCACCUCAAUCAGAUCACCGUAGCCUUGGUUGUGUCCGUUACGCAAAACAACGUCAAAUCUGUCUUUUGUUUCUUGACUCAACCUUCAUUUCCGCACAUGCUCCUAGCUUGAUUUUGUGCUUGUAUGACUUGGAGCCUAUGGAAUGGCUAUUGAAAUGAGAUGAUUUUGUGUAUGACUUUGGGAUUGAUUGAGGAAAAGAAUGAAGCCAUAAAUGGCUGGAAAAUAGGUAAAUACAAAGGGCGUGCUGCCCAAAUUUACGCUCGAGAACUAGGUCGAUAUACUUGCGACUUGAGUAAGGCUUGAGAGCGAAUACCACAUGAACCAUCCAGGGUAUUUACGUCUUCUUUUAUCGAGGUAUAUAAGUUAUAAUUCGGCCGAAACUUGUACCCUUGGAAAAAUGAAAUUUUACGUUUUCUUUGUCAUUUCAACUCAAAAGGAGAUUUUAAAGUUUUACGAGUGAGCAUAAGUUUUACAAAUAUUUUACUUAUGUCUGUUGGUUUAAAUGUACUCUUUUCACUACCAAAAUCAUAUUUAUAUUUUGUCCUAGUACCUAUUCGAAUUUUUCUUGAAUCACUUGAAUCUUUAUAAUGUGUUCUUUUGAUUAUAUUAGGGUUCCUUGGUGAUUGAGGGUGUUAUCCGAAAGGAUACUUUGGACGUUAUUUUGCGUAAAUAGGUGAGUGUUCCUUGUUUGUUAUUUUUUCAUUGACUAUGCGACUUGUUCUUGAUUAUAUGACUUGUUAUGAACGAAUGAAACAUGUUAAAUAUUUUUAAUGAUUGCUUAAAAUGAGUUUUCUAGGCGAGUGUGUACUUUAUCGCACUCGACCUAAAUAAAUGUGAAAUUUUCAAUGAUUAGAUAAUUAAAUGCUAGUUGCGCAUGAAUGUAAGCCGUUUAGCUGAACUGGGCCCUUGCCCUUCGUUACUGAUCGACUCGAACCAGAAGCGGAUUCGAUCGGGCGAUUUAGUGACCCUGGGUAAGCGUUUGGCAUACUCGAGUAUUACCGUGUAGUCUGGUGGAGCCUGUCCAACGUCCAGGAGGGGGUGAAAUGAAAUGAAUGAACGAAUGUCAAUGUAAAUGAAGGGUUUUACUUAUCAAAAUGCAUUUUCAAACGAAUGGAGGAAUAAGGAAAUGAAAGGAGAAUGAAUGAAUGAAUGAAUGGCUCCAUGUGAGCACGUAUCCUUUUAAUGAAUGUUAUUAUUGCUUUAUAUUGUCAUGUUUCUGGAAUUACUUGCUAUCUUUGGUUAAUGUAUUGAAUUAUUGUUUGUUUAUGUGUCUGGAACCUCACUGGGCUUUUAGCUCAUUCCGUUAGUUUUGUUUUCCUUACAGGGAAUGCGAGCAAGGGCGAGAGACUUGUAUAGAAUAGCAUAGCCUAGUCCUUUUGUAAGGGUUCUCGCCCUAGCACUUGGCAAGGGUUGGAUGUAUGAGGAAUUGAGAACCUUUGUAUAUUUGAAUUUUGUAAUUCCUUUGGAGAUAGGAAUGUAUAUAAGUUUAUGUUUUCAGUUUGGGAUCGGUAUUCGCUUGUUUGGUAAAUUUUAUCUUCAAUUCCUUGAGGUGAAUGUGUGACGCCCCGAAAGAAUGAGUGUGAGAACCCGGAAAUUUUCUAAUUUUCUAGGGUUUAUUUUUAUUUAAUCGCCCGCCUUUUCUACAUUUUCUUUAUUAGAAAAAUUCCCCAGAUAAAGUUUAUGAGCAAAGAUAGUUUUAAAAUGAUUUUUCUAGUAUCGGUUAGUUUUUGAGAAAUUAAGAGCGUAUUUUGAACGUGGGACCCGUUAGUGCGGUAAAUGCAUUAUAUUUUUGACAACUUGUUGAAAUUUUGUAUUAAGUGAUAUUAUUUUACAAGGUGUUAAGAUAUUUGUAUUGGAGAGACAAAAAGAUAAGUUUAUACCUAAAGGUGACAUGUGUCACCAUAUGAUUAAAUCUUGUUUUGACUUACUAUUCAACCUUUUACCAUUUACCAUAAUAACUUCAAAAAUUGACCAAAAUAUCUUCAUUUCUAAGCUUCACAUGGCCGGCCACCUUCAAGCAAUAAGGGAAGAAAAGCUCUCCAAUUUCUUUGCUCCAAGCUUGCUUAAUCUUCACUUUUAACCGUUUAAUUUUAGUUUUACUCCAUAAAACCUCUUCACUUAGUGUUUGUGAGUUGUUUGGUGGAGUUGUUUGGGAAGCUAAGGUGACAAGUUGCUCUCCCUCUUGUUUUACUAAGGUGAGUAGUGGAUGAACCCCUCUCCUCCCUUAAUUGAUGCCUAAAUCAUGAUUAGUGGUGGUAUGAGAUGCAAUAUUAUGGAUUAUUUCUUGAUUUGUGGUUGAAGUGAUGAAGUUUUAUUAUUUUUGGGGAUUUUUCUGUUUUAAUAUAAGCAUGAUUGUGUGGUCAUGUAUGAUGAUUGGAAAUGUUAUGUAAUGAAGCUAGAAGGUGGAAAAAGUGGACAAUUGCAAUCAAUUUCUGUUUUGGAAGAAAUUUCAGAAAAAUUAGGUUUUGUGAAGGAACAUUCUGCCCGAAUUUUUAGCUCCUAGUUAGAGGCCGAAUUGGCCUUUUCUUAAAACAUGAAAGUUGUAGGUAAUGACAUUUUAGAGGUGCCUACAAAAUUUCAGGUCAAUCGGAGCGGCGUAGCUUGAGAAAAGUCGAAAUUACUAUUGCUGUUCUGGUUAUACCCGAAUGUAAGAAUUGCGCCUGUAAUUGGUUUUUUUGGCUGGAAUUGCUUCCGAAUUGGUUGUUGAGGUCUUCUGAUGAAAUUUAGCCCUGAUUCUUAGCUUUCAGUUGGUUUUGGAAUUUCUGGAUUUGGGCUUGGAUAACCUGAUUUAUGAUGUUUCCGCUAGAAUGCAUUCUGUGAAUCUGUUUUUCCGGUUCUGAUGUAGUUUCUUGCAUUUUUGACCUGGUUACACUCGAAACUGGGUUGAGUGACCUUCUGUAAUAUUGUAGCCCUAUCUCUUAGCUUCGAAACAGUGUAUCUUGUACCUUCAUCCGACAAUCGUAGACCCUUUGGUACCAUUACCGCAAAAUGACGUCAAAAACUGUUUUUCUGGUUUUGAGCUUAACUUUCAUUUCCGGACUUUUCCCUAGCUUGACUUGUACUAGUACUACUUGGAGCUUGCUGAAUGGCUAUUGGAUGAACUUGUUGUUGUGUGUGUACCUUUGGGUUGGAAUGAGGAAAUUUGGAAAAGUUAGCAAAUUCAGGGGAAGUGUUGUCCGAACUUUGAAGGGAUUUGUUUGCAUUGAGUUUGUGAUCUAAGACUUGGAUUUGAGCAAGGCAAUGUUAUAUGAUGGAUGAUUUCUGAGCCGUGGAGGUGAGUGACCCUAAACUAUUUCCAAAGUACUUGUGAAACGUUUCUUGCAAUAUUUAGUUUUGAACUGUUUCCAAAGUUACUUUUGAACUGUUUUCUUGCAUAUCAUGCGUGCUUAUAUGAGAGUGUUCCUUGUUUGAUAUAUUUCCUUGACUUAUUGGCUUGUUAUUAUGGAUUGAUAAUGUGUUAAGUGCUUUCAAUGAUUGUUAAAACGAGUUUUCUGGGCGAGUGUGUACUUUAUCGCACUCGACCUAAAUAAAUGUGAAAUUUUCAAUGAUUAAGGAUUAAAUGUUACUUGUGCAUGAAUGUAAGCCUUUUGGCUGAACUGGCCACUGCCCUUCGUUACCGAUCGACUCGAGCCAGAAGCGGACUCGGUCGGGCGAUAUGGUGACCCUGGGUGAAUUUGGUAUAUUCGAGUAUUACCUUUGUAGUCCGGCUACGUCCGGAUGGGUGGAGUCCAGCUACGUCCGGAUGGGUGGAGUCCGGUCAACGUCCGGAAAGGGGAUGAACGAAUAAAAGGAUGAACGAGGGAUUCUACUUACAAAAAAUGAAAUUUUCAAAUGAUUGGAGGAAUAAGGGGAAAUGACAAGAGAACGAAUGUAUCCUUUUCAUGAAUGUUACUAUCGCUUUCCAUUGUACAUGUUUCCUGAAUUAUUGAUACUCCAUAUUUAAUGUUUUGUAAAUGUUGUAAUUGUUUCUGGACUUAUCAUUUGAUUUAUGACCUCAUUGAAAUGAACUAUUGUUAAACCGAUUGAUUACUGAUUUUACUGGUUACUCGCUGAGCUUCUAGCUCACCCCAAAAUUAUUUUAUUCCCCUCCACAGGGUUCGUGGCGAAGGAAGGACUUGUUGUGCUUAUUCACAUGUCUGGAUGGCCUAUAUCUUGUACAGUUUGGAUUUGGAAUCAUUUUAUGUAUAGUUGAGAAUUGUUUCCGCUUCGCUUAUGACAUGUAAUUAUUGGAGAAUUUGAUGUAAUAUUUGAGAUUUUUCUUGUAAUUUAUUUGAGGACUUUAGUGAACGACUGAGUCCCGGCGAGAGCUGGGCAGGCGGCCCGCCGAACCCUCUGGUUCGCCUUAGGGGGAGGUGGGGCUGUCACAGAAUGACUGAGUCCCGGCGAGAGCUGGGCAGGCGGUCCGCCGAACCCUUUGGUUCGCCUUAGGGUAAGGUGGGGCCGUCACAGGUGGUAUCAGAGCUCCUAUCGAGUUCGUGCCGGAAGAGGGUUCUCGGACUGUGGGGAUUGGCUUGGUAAGUGUGAAAUCAAUGUCUAUUGUUGGGGACCUUAGAUAUGUAUGUUGGGUAGGAAUUUUAAAAGUGGUUGAUUUCCUCUUGAGCCUAGCUAACUCGAGUGGUGAAUUAUCAUAUUUUCGGAUUCUUGUACCCUAGUACCAAAGAGUGAUACCUUUAUGAUAAGUUGGUAUCCCGAGUAAUAUGAGGAUAAGUUUGGAUGACGAAAGCCAAAGCAAGGGGGAUGCGAAUAGUUUGGACUUGGGAUAUAUUGAAGAUAUUAGUGAGAUUGGGGACCUUGAUUAGUCACGCGUACGUACUUGGUUGUACUUCGUCAAGUUUUGAUUAAGUAUAGUGCCUGAGCAAUACCUAGGGUUAAUGUACCGUAGGAUGUGUGAAUUGCUAUGAUAUGUAUAUAACGAAAGUAUGUUAUUUUCAUUGUGUUUUGAAAAUGCUUGUAUUGAAUCUCAUAGCUAUUUUAUUUUGCUUAUACUUAUUUACGAAUAAAUGUAUGAAUUUCGAGGAUGAAAUUCUUUGAAGGAGAGGAGAUUGUGAUAUCACGAAUUUUAGGACAAUAUUUUUCCCUCAUUCUUUUAAAAUUUCGAUUUAUUUCUUUUGUCUUGUUUUAAAACAUUAUUUUUUUUUGUUGUUGGACACUUGAAAUUCUAAUAAAAAACCCUAGUUUGCUUGUGACUAACCUUUCCUUUUCCCUUAAUCAUGUUUGAGUUGUGUAGUAGCUUGUAAUUUUGCUUGUGAUGCCUUAUUCAAGUGGUUUUGGUGAUUGGGGUGAUGAAUUUUGAGUUAGGGUUUUGAUUGAUUCACUUAUAAUUCUUGUUGGUUGAAUGGUACUUGGUGUAUAUAAGUUGGUAUAUGAGGUGGUAGUGAUGGUUUUAAACUAGAAAUGGGACUUAUACCUUGAUUGUAGCAAAUUUCCAGAAUUGAAGUGAAUGUAUACCCUGUUCUACUGGGUUCUAGUUCACCAUGUUAGAGACCGAAUUAGGCUUAGCCUAAAACAAUAAAGUUGUAGAGAAUGAUAUUUUACAGUUGCCUUCAAAUUUUCAGCUCAAUCCGAGUACUGUAGUUUAUGAAAAGACAAAACUACCCCUGACUACCAUAGGUAGAGCCCUGUGGACAGUGUUGACCUUUCACCAAUCUGACCGCAUCUGUUCACCCUGAUCCAUAUUGAAUUAGCCUUUGGCCAAAACACAGAAGUUGUAGUGUUAUGUCUUAUAUUUCCAACGGCCCUGAAAACGCCUUAAUCGGACUUCGAUAACCUGAGUUAUUGUCGUUUACGUAUAGUGCGGUUAACUAGCCCGGGUGUGAGAUUCUGGUUCUGUAAUUUGAAAUUUUUACCUAGUUAUACUACGAACUGGACUGAGUUUUCUUCAUCAAAGUUGUAACCCUUUACCUUAGCUUCGAAACGGUAUAAAUUGCACCUCAAUCAGAUAAGCGUAGCCUUGGUUGUGUCUGUUACGCAAAACAACGUCAAAUCUGUCUUUUGUUUCUUGACUCAACCUUCAUUUCCGCACAUGCACCUAGCUUGACUUUGUGCUUGUAUGACUUGGAACCUAUUGAAUGGCUAUUGAAAUGAGAUGAUUUUGUGUAUGACUUUGGGAUUGAUUGUGGAAAAGAAUGAAGUCAUAAAUGGCUGAAAAAUAGGUAAAUACAAAGGGCGUGCUGCCCAAAUUUACGCUCGAGAACUAGGUCGAUAUACUUGCGACUUGAGUAAGGCUUGAGAGCGAAUACCACAUGAACCAUCUAGGAUAUUUACGUCUUCUUUUAUCGAGAUAUAUAAGUUAGAAUUUGGCCGAAACUUGUACCUUUGGAAAAAUGAAAUUUUACGUUUUCUUUGUCACUUCGACUCAAAUGGAGAUUUUAAAGUUUUACGAGUGAGCAUAAGUUUUACAAAUAUUUUACUUAUGCCCUUUGGUUUAAAUAUACUUUUUUCACUACCAAAACCAUAUUUAUACUUUGUACUAGUACGUAUUCGAAUUUUUCUUAAAUCACUUAAAUCUUUAUAAUUUGUUCUUUUGAUUAUAUUAGGGUUCCUUGGUGAUUGAGGAUGUUAUCCGAAAGGAUACUUUGGAUAUUUUCUUGUUUGAUUAUAUGUUCUUUUGAGUGUUUCUUGUUUGUUAUAUUUUCAUUGACUAUGUGGUUUGUUCUUGAUUAUUUGACUUGUUAUGAACGAAUGAUAACAUGUUAAAUGUUUUUAAUGAUUGCUUAAAAUGAGUUUUCUAGGCGAGUGUGUACUUUAUCACACUCGACCUAAAUGAAUGUGAAAUUUUCAAUGAUUAGAUAAUUAAAUGCUAGUUGCGCAUGAAUGUAAGCCGUUUGGCUUUCAAUGAUUAGAUAAUUAAAUUCUAGUUGCGCAUGAAUGUAAGCCGUUUGGCUGAACUGGGCCCUUGCCCUUCGUUGCUGAUCGACUCGAGCCAGAAGCGGACUCGGUCAGGCGAUUUAGUGACUCUGGGUGAACGUUUGGUAUACUCGAGUAUCACCGUGUAGUCUGGUGGAGCCUGGCCAACGUCCAGGAGGGGGUGAAAUGAAAUGAAUGAACGAAUGUCAAUGUAAAUGAAGGGUUUUACAUAUCAAAAUGUAUUUUCAAACGAAUGGAGGAAUAAGGUAAUGAAAGGAGAAUGAAUGAAUGGCUCCAUGUGAGCACGUAUCCUUUUAAUGAAUGUUAUUAUUGCUUUAUAUUAUCAUGUUUCUGGAAUUACUUGCUAUCUAUGGUUAAUGUAUUGAACUCAUUGUUUGUUUAUGUGUCUGGAACCUCACUGGGCUUUUAGCUCAUUCCGUUAGUUUUGUUUUCCUUACAGGAGAUGCGAGCAAGGGCGAGAGACUUGUAUAGAAUAGCAUAGCCUAGUCCUUUUGUAAGGGUUCUCGCCCUAGCACUUGGCAAGGGUUGGAUGUAUGAGAAAUUGGGAACCUUUGUAUAUUUGAAUUUUGUAAUUCCUUUAGAGAUAGGAAUGUAUAUAAGUUUAUGUUUUCAGUUUGGGAUCGGUAUUCGCUUGUUUGGUAAAUUUUAUCUUCAAUUCCUUGAGGUGAAUGACUGAGUCCCGGCGAGAGUUGGGCAGGCGGUCCGCCGAACCCUUUGGUUCGCCUUAGGGUAAGGUGGGACUAUCACACCUUAGCUCUCCCGAGCUGAGCAGUCACUUUGGCAAGAAGUCUGCAUGUGUUUCUUUACUCAUCUUUUCCCAUGACGAAGAUGCCAAAACAUCAUAUGCCUCUGCCUUGGCAAACAAUCCUAUCAAGAAGUCUUUUAAAGGGAGACCAUUGGUAGGAUCCGUUCUUGUGAUUUUCGCAAUGAUCUCCUCUGCGCACUCUUUUAAAGAAGAGAUCUGCUCAAUAGGAGUGUCAAGAAUCUACCCGCGAAAAUCCAUCCACAAACUCUGCAAGUAUUUCCUUCAAUGCGGUUGGAUCAAUUUUUACCCGUGAAAUUCUGAAACCAGUGCUGGUUUAGGUCUCUUUCGGAUCUCGUGCGAACCAGUUAACUCUUUCUUACGCAUUGACGAGGUACCUCCACUGGGGGCAAAUUGUUUUGGCGUACUGAUAGCUAUUUCGUCACUUUUGUUGUUUGAAAUUAUAUCAUCAGUUUCGAGUUCGAGUGGUGAAUUGUUACCAACAUCUUCUUGACGAAAUUCAAGAAACGGGGGUUGAACAGAAAAAAAAAUUACAAAAAAAAAUUACAAAAUAGAGCACAAAAAAACAAAAGAAAGAAAAAGGGUUACAAAAAGGGAAAAGAAAGAAAAACGGAGAGAUGAUUACCUUAAGGGGCGACACUCUAACCAACGGUGGUGUGAAGGAAACCUCCUCCAAAUCAGAAGAUGUCCUCUUCUUCGAUCGGUUUCAAUGACGGUCUUGACUACUACUACCGCUCGCCAAUGAAUGGGCUCCUCCUUGGGUAGAUCCGAUGCCCUGAACUUGAGUCUCUUCCUUUCCUAUAGCCUUAAUAGAAUCACGAUCGUCCACCGUUUCAAUUUCGACAUUUUCUUCUGUGCGAGUCACCGAUAAGGAUUUUGAAACUUUGGGUGGCGUCUUCUUUACUGGAAUUACUGGUUGCGCCUCUUUGAUGGCCUGUCGAGAGUCCUUGGAAGACUUAGUUUUUGUGACAAUGUUUUUCGAGGGAUUGCUAGUAAUUUUGUUCUUCUGCAAGGUGGAUGAGGUAAGACCCGUUGCAAUCUCUAUAGCUCCAUUAUGAUGCACUGGCUCGUUGGCGGAGGUAACCUUACCCUUCUUCGAUGAUUGCUGAGGGAUAUUAAUGGUGAAUUUAAAGGAAGUUGAAGAGACACUAUUUGACCGAGUCGACCACCAGGCGUCAUAGUCUUUUGUAAUCAAUGGAUGCUUCCUGUGCGUGGGUAUAGUCAUCCGAGAUCGUGUCUGCGUGCGAACUGAGGAAUCCCAUAGUUGAAUAGUCUCACCCAAAGUAUAAGUAUGAGUGAUCUCUUUCAAGUUGUUGGGAAUGUCCUGACAGAAGCCGAAUUGUCUGCUAAACCUGCAAGGAUUAUAUUUUUCAAUAAUGAAAGUAUUGUCCUUAUGUAGAGUUAAAUGGCAAGAGCGUUGACUAAUGAAGUAGCUCAUAAGUAUUGAUAAUAAGGAUCCAUCGUCGAUCAACACCUUUUCUUCAUUCUCAAUCCAACACAAUUUGGAAAGCAUCAAAGGAUUCACUUCUAUGAAGAUUUCCUCAACUUCUGAUUGGCCAUAAAAUAUUGCCAUUUUCUUACCACUAAAUCUUGUCAUACGCGCGUGGUGGCUACUCACUUGAUUGUUUUCAUAAUAUACAUUGAAGUAUUGGCCAAUCUAAGUAUAGACGUAAUGGAUUGGAAAAGUUAUCCCACAUUCUCCAAGGUUAGGGGCGUGGACGAUCUCCCUCAACCCAUGAUAUAUGCUCGCAAGAACGGGAAUUGCAAGGCAAAAUCUUUUCCCUGUGGCCAUUAAACAUGCAACCUUGAAAACACUUGGGCGAAUGCGAUCGAUCUUUUUGCUUGGCAAAAGAAACUUGCAAAUCCAACACGCUAUGAAUGCCGCAAUAUAGGUCUCCUUUCUUAAAAAUCCUAGGAUAUCCAGUGUGUCAAAAGGGACGUUGAAAUCCUUCGUAUCGGCAAGGUCGUAAGGCUCUACGCUUCUAGAAGGGUUGUAAGUCAUUUUUGGUUUAGAUGUGGUCUUCCUUCUAUUCGCCCUACUCGGAGAAUCCCUAUACCUAGCCUCUCCUUUGAACCAGAAGCGAAUCCAGUCUUUCAUCCAUACCCCUUGGUCAUUCGUCCAAAGGUGGUAAUAAGCAGAAAAGAGGUACCUGCAACUCUCAGGGAGAAGUGGCUUCCCUUCUUUGUCACGAAUGAGAAGCUCCUGCGCCGAAGGAACAACUUCAUCAAAGAACGAGCCAUCGAUCGAAAGGCCACCAAGUCGAUAAAGAUCCCAAAAUAUGAUGGACAACUCCCCAACGGGCGUAUGAAGUGUAUUUGUCGAGAGACACCAAUAUUUGAAGAAGGCUCGCAAGAUAUUUUCACAGCGGUCGUAGGAGUAUCUCGACGCGUAAACAGCUUCAAAAAUGCCAGCGCGUGUGAGUACGUCUUUAUAUCUUCCAAGGAUGUCCUCGACCUACUCCCAAUAGUGGGAGGUGAAGCACGCCUCGCCAAAGAAGGAAGAAGGAAUCUUCCAUGUAGUUUUGUCAAUAUUGAAUCCCACGAACGAAAGCGUGAAUUUGGCUAUUUCUGGGUCUCCAUUGUGAAGUGACGAGUUUAAUACGACCACUUCUUCUUCCCUCAACGUAGUGGAGAAAGUCGAUGGUGCCACCACUUCCUUAGUCCACUUGUUAGUCCAAUCUUCGAGAUGAAAGCAUCCUUCAAGGGGUAUAAAAGACUCAGUAAAGGUGCCGAUCGCUAGUUUGUUCACAUGCAAUGACAAACUUUUCGAUUGAGACCCUCCCCUCUCAUCCGUCAAUGAGAUAUGGGGCAACGGCGUGGUAUAGUCUUUAAUUUGCAUGGUGGCUGAAAUUCGAAGGAAAAAGGGGGGUUGAGUUGGUAAAAAAACAAAACAAAAACAAAAAAACAAAAACAAAAACAAAAGCAAAAAAAAAAGAGAAAAAGAGGAACAAAAUUUCUAUGAAACUUGGGUAGUCAAGCUACCUUGCGGCUAAAGGUCUAAUUCCUUGAGCGGGAUACCGAGUUCCUGUUGAAGCUAGACUUGACAAUAAAAGGUAAAAGUGAGAUGGGAUGUCCGCAAAUAAUGGAUAAAGAGGUUACAAUUGGGACAAGUCAAUCAAAUAUCAAGUUAUGUUUGCAUGUUAUGCGAAGUUCUGAAAAUAAAUUAAAACAUGCAUGCGAGUCAAUGGCGCAAAAGCUUCCGUAUCUUGCAUGCAAAGUGAUUACUAUGUUACAAGUAUAAAUAUUUAUGAAAGGUGAACCAAGAUUGGAGAUAAUCACCUCCAAAUCGAUGCGACGUCAGCAAUGAGAGUUGCACACUAGUAGCUGGCUCUAAUAACCGCAGCAAUCCUGGACAGCGAUCUUCGAGUUAUAAGCAGCGAAGGAGUGGUGACAGCGAACAAAGAAAAUAGCGGCAACUCUUGCUGGGUAAACUGUAAGGCGUGGGGAAAAAAAAAAGAGGCAGCAACUGGAGUUCCGAAGCUCUGGGGAGGUUAUGGAUUUGUGACUUUGGCCUUGAGGGUUUUAUAGCGGAGAGUUUCAUUAAGAGCCAGCAGGUAUUCAAGUCCGAACGCGAAUAGAGUUCUGGUUUACAUGAACUACCCAGAGGUUUUGCCUUCAGGACUAUGCGUGCUUAGUAGAGCUCUAGUAAGCGGAAUUCGAGUCCAAUAUGGUGUCCUUUAACCAACCAUAUUAUGAGACGGAUCACUCGCAUGGAGAAUCGGGUUCCCGCAGGUGGAGCCUGUCAUGGAUUGAACUACCUUGCUGGUAAUUUUGGAACGAACUUCUAAGUACAGUAGCGUUCAACUCCAUCAGCUCCAUCACGUACAAACUAUGCCCAACACAUGGGAACUCAAGAAACUUGCAGGUAAACCACUACUGCUGCGACUUCAAUAGUUGAGAAGCUUGGCCAGCAGUGGGAUUCAGUCAAUAUCAAAAGAGUAUGCGAGGCUUCAAGAAGAGCUGAUGAACAUAGAUAAUACCUUUGUGGAAGCGAAAACAACGAAGGGCCUCGGGUGCCUACCACUGAUUUGAGGGACAUUAAAGCAGAGGACGAAGCUGUCACGGCGAGUUAAAGAAGGCCGCCAUAGGGGAGGGAGUGAUGCACCUCGUCAACCAUGGCGUCUCAAAUAAGCUUUUGAGUUUAGUCAGGGGUUGCCGGGAAGAUCUCCUUUAAUUCACUCGCUAAGGAAAAUGAGAAGUAUGCCAAUGAUCAAGCAUCAGGCGAUCUGCAAAGAGACAGCAGCAAAUUAGGAAACAGUCCUAAUGGUUAGCUAGAGUGGGGGGGACCACGUUUUCUCAUUGUGUUUAAAUAAAAAGGACUCGGGGCAAGUUAUUAUAAAGCCAUUCGGCCUUGGAAAUUGAAGCCACCGAAUUUUGCCUAACAAUGCAUGCGUAAUGGUGGACCUGAGGCCAUUGGCAUGAUAUGUUUGACCGUGGGGAUUGAUAGCAAUAUGUUAUGCAUGAAUUGGUGGCAUCCUACAUAGCCAUCUUAUGAUCAAUUGGAAAGCUACGACAUUGCAAAGCUUUAAGUAAAGUCCAUUUGUUUAACAUGCCAACGGUGGAUGCAAUUCGGCCUCGGGAAUUUCAAGUACUAAUACUUUCACUUAUCUUGUCAUACAUUAAUUAAAGGCCUAUGCUAGUUCACCUACGGACUUGGGUUGGAAUCAAUAUUGUCGUGAUCUUAUGACAUCCAAUUUAAGUCAAAAGUGCCAAAACUUGUUUGUUCAAGUACUCUUCGCAAACAAGUUUUGAGGGGGUAUUUGUAGACAAUGGAAUUUUAAUUAAUUUUUUAAAAUUACCAUUAGUCUAUAAAUUAUUUUUGUGGCUUAUUUUUAUCCAAUCGGGUAUUGCCAUAUGUCAUGUACACUUGAAAGAUUGGGUUAUUAAAUGGCCAAUUAUAUUUUGCCACGUGUCAAGUUGAGGUGUUCCAAAUCAAUUCAAAUUGCAGGGAUAUCUCCACCAACCAAAUCAUAUCAUGUCACAUGUCUAUUGGAUAAAUAUCUAAAUAUUUAUUUCUUAUUAAAGGGAUAAUAUUUAGAACUAUUUAAUCUAAGUAUAUUUUUUAUAUACUGAAAUAGCUUGGCCAGUCAAACGGCGCCACGUCACGUGUCCCCACAAGUUUGGCCAAUCGAUGAAUUACUUAUCUCUUUAUUAAUAAAUAUAAAAUGAAGAGAUAAUAUUUAACUAGCACAGUUCUAAUAUGACUGCACGUCUUGCAAGACAAGUAAAAGUGAUACACAAGUCUUCAGCCUCUACCUUUUGCUACAGCUAUAAAUAGGGGUUUCUCUACUAAGUCAGACACACACACAGAGACACACAUCAGGAGGCAUUUCAUACACUCAAGUGGUAAAGUUCUAAGCUACGAAGGUCUGGGUCUUCAAGCUCUUCAAGUCUUCCAUAUAUCAAGGCUUGAGCCUCCAAAUAUUUUCAAGUCCUCCAAAUCUGCCAUAUCAAGAUUUGAAGGAAUCGGUGAUAGAUCCAAGAGCAAGCUGCAAAAUCCUUGGAUUGGCGUUCGAAGAGAAGAAUCGAGGAAAACUCUUCACAAGUUCGAGAAAAUCCCAGAGAUUGUACUCACAUAUUUUUCUUAGAUUUAUAUAUCACAUAUUUGUCGUGUAUAUUUCUUGUUUCUGCAGACUUGAAAUUUUACCGCGUACACAGACUACUGAGUUUUUGUUUUGAUCUAAUAUCAGCCUGCAAUUGGCAGAAGAAUAAACGGGUUAGAAAAGUCCAACAGUGGCAAAAGAAUAAUUUAACAGAAAAUUUCUUAAGUUGACCAAAUGAAAGACGACUCAGCUUUACUCUUAAGCAACUCCAGAGGAAGCUCACUUUAUUUUAUCCAAUAUGCACAAAACUCUUUCCUACCACUAGCUUGAAACCUGAUGAUACAAUAAAUGGUAAUCACUCCAGCAAAAAGAAGGCUAUGAGCAUAAUCUUCUUGCUGAAUCUUUUGCAUAGCCGGAUUUCUCAGUAGAACAUAAAAAAAAUAAAAUAAAGCACUCCCACCUGGUAAUUAGCAAAAUAGAUCGACUAGGUAUAAUAUAAGGCGACUGCUAUGGCGGGUCCGUCCCUAAGAUUCUAUACAAAUUUCAUAGUGGUCAUAAACUUUAAAGCAGAACAUUUCAGGCUAAAGUUUUAUACAUGUAUACGUUUUGGUCCUACAUGAAAUCAACGUGUUCAUCUUCAAUGAAAACCAGCACUAAGCCCAUGAAUACGAGCACAAAUAAAAACUCAAUCCUUGUUUUCGUCCAAAGUCAAAUUCUGCGACCUGGAAAUGUCAACCAAUAAACAAUGUGCUGAUACGUUGCCCAAACUCCAGAGUCAAAUUCUGCAACCUGAAAACGUCUCACCCAAACUAUUUAUGUUGAUUAUAAGUCCUCGUUUGGCCACUCUGUAUCCAUUUACUUUUUGCUUUUAAUUUUUUUUUCUAGUAGGAGAGGGGUGGGAAUUAAGAAGUGGGAAGGGGAAAAGGGAAUUGGAACCCAGGACAGCCAAGUCUUGAGGCUUCAACCUUAGCCACUGGGCCAAGGCAUCCUCUACUCCGUAUCUAUUUACUUUUUGAAAAGAGAAAGUAUAUGACUUUCACACGGAGAAUAACAUAUAUUUUAUGGACGAUGCUGCGAUAGACUUGUAAAUCUUUAUGGUUGAUUGAUUAAUUAAAACAAUUACGACCGAAUGUAAUACAUUAAAACUAUAAGGCCUUCUUGACAAUCUACCAAAUAAGACCUGUUGUCAGGUUUUUUAACUAGAGAUGAAUAAAAUAUGCCUUUGGAGUAGGCAUCAUAUUGACAAAACCCUGGUUCAAGGAACUAUAAACAGUUUCUUUACUUUUGUUAGCAGAACUUAUUUCAGAUUUGGCUUUGAAUUAUAAAAGAGGGCUUCAACAAAUAAAAACAGAAACCUUUGUGAAUCCAAUGGAUACACGCUAGUGCUAAAUGUAUCCAACAGUUUUUGGUAAAAAGUAAGAAAGAACACUAAAGGUAUUUGUUCAACAAUCUCCAUCUGGAAAACAAACAAAAUUACCAGGAAUGAUUAUUAACAUAGGCCAACCACAAAGCCUCAUAGCAUGUGGAUGAGUGUUCAAGAUUUCAGACUCUCCAAAAUACAAAUUUGAUUGACCAUGAGAAAGUAUGUGAAAUAUAAAAAGAACAAAUUUCAGCAGUUUGCUAGGUGCCAGUCGCAAAGAUAGCUGAAAAUUCAAUGGUAAAUUAUCCAUAAAACAUCUCCAAGUGAGUACCUCAAAAUGUUUCUUCAAUGAAUUCACAAGAGAUAAAUUUGCAAUCUGUCACAUCUACACUAUGCAUAUUCACCAAGCCAAAAAACGAACUACCACAUAACUUUUACCUGCCGGAUGGGUUCUGGGAUGCGGAAUCUGCAAGUCAUCUUUACAACUUUAAUGGCAGUAGCAAGCGAUACACGGUGACCAACUGAAACAAAAAUGGGUUUCAAUAAGCCUUGGGUUGAUCUCAUUGCCUGCAAUCCAGUUAGCCAAGACUGUUACUUUGAAUGACACAGAUCAAUGCAGCAAUUGUACAUUUUAUUACAUAAAGCAUACUUCAGGACUUUUAAAAACAAUAUUCCGAGUCUUGAACAAGCUGUAAGAAGAAUAAAGCAUAAUAGGACUUAGGAAGUCUAAAAACAAUGAACAGUAAGCAUAUCAAGUCAGGGAAAUAUUAUAAAGAUCACUAAGGUGUGAACAAGUAGCGAAAACUAAAUUUCAGAUAGCCAUAACAACAUUCAGCAGUCCUUUUGCCACUUACUUGACAAAGGAAUUCCAUUGAGGACAUAUACAUCCAACAUGGUUUAUGACGAAAAAUUCUUCAUUUUGUUGUAAACAAGCAGUGUUAAUGUACACUAAUUUGCCCGGUCGCCAUGAUUUUCCAGAAAAUUCCAUUCCCCCUAACCUCCAUUGAAUUUUCAGAAAUAGGAGGAAUUAUUUUAUCUGAUUCCUUUCACAUGUUAAAACUGCCUACAUCUGAAAACAAAUUAGACAACAUAGUGAUCGGUUUCUCUCAACCGACUAUCUAAACAAAGCUAGCUGAAAUUUAGUUGAUAAGGAAUAAACUGUUGUUUUCAGGAACUUUACAAGCUACAAACCAAACAGUGUUAAGACUGUUAGUAUCUUUGAAGUUGAGGGAUAAGAAUAAAGAGUAGGAGUAGUGUAUAUAGUAGUGCAUCACAUACAUCAUACAAAUAAGCAAUUAGAUCUCUUACCAUUCCAAAAGUUCUCCCAGAGUCCCCGAUUAGAGUAAAGACAUCUCUAGAUGAGUUUUCUUUGACUUCAAGGAGUUGUCUGACUUUUGCAAGGGUUAGACCAUCAACAUGAUGUAACUGACAUGUUUUAUACCAGAAAGUUUAUAAUGUUAGAAGCAUUACGCAUAUAUGAAAAGGGAAUCAUCAAGUAAGAUUAUUGAAUUUCAAACAAUUAAAAUAAGUUUAUAAUCAUCUCCUGCACCAGAAGGAAGAAUCUAGACUUCCAAGUUGAUCCAAGAAUGUAAUAUAUAAUAACUCUUAUAGGAGUAAGCAAACGGACAAAAUGCAUUUAAUAUCCUGUCCAGCACAGGGAAAUACUGCACAAGAAUAGAAAUAAUGCAACCAAUGGGAAGUAGGGCAAGUCAUUGCUUUUGACAACAUAGUAUGGGACUUACCUUAAUGAAUGUACAAUAGACUCAAAUGUGGUAAGGUCAAAUUGACCAUGUAUGCUACCUGCUUUUUUUUAAUACUAAAAUCUGAUCUUGGAAAGUGUGAUGAUUCCGUGAUAAAUAACUUUCCCAGUUUAUUCAAUCAAUAAGCCAUUUUAUUACUGGUUUUACCUCGUAUCUUUAAGGUAAAACCAACAACUUAUGAUCCCAAUCUCAACCAUCAUUUCACAAUUGAAAAGCAAUGAAAUUCCUUUAUCUUUCUAAAGGUCCAUCAAAUUGGGUUUUCUUCAUCCUUGAAGUACAAAUGAAAGAGGAGCGUGAAUGGUUAAUCUUAAAACACGGAUAAUUUCAAAGACAACAUUAGCAUCUGUUUUAAACUGAAAGUAAUAUAAAACUCCAGGUUUUGAAAUUCAAUAGUUUUCAAGAAGAUACGAGGUAAGCAUUUUUACUUGGCAAAUGAAAGUAGAGAAUAAAAAAGAUGAAUGGUGAUAAAGUUAUCGCUGCAGAUUAAAGAAAGAAAAAAAAAUCACAGGUUGAUACUAAUGUCACACCUACUCGAAAACAUAGAAUUGGUCGAGAUAAGGUAAGAGGUUUUGAUAGUGUACAAUAGGGAUUCCAGAAGCAGUAAAGGAUUUGGUGAAAUGAGAAAUUACAAGAUUUGACAUAACCUAACCAUGCUCACCUCUACUCCCUCUGCCCUGUCGCUAUUAUCAUGGUUUUUUGCUUUUUUGGCUCAAACAAGCUUACAUGAAUAGCACAUUUUCAAUGGUUAUGUAGCAUAAAAAUGGUAUAAAUUCACAAAUGAUACUGUACAUGGUUCUGCGAACUAACACCCUGUUGUAAAUAGAUGAAAUUUCAUAAGUUUGACCACAUUUUACAAAGAACAACAAAAGCAUGAGACUAGCAGAUAAUAAAUUAGAAUAAAAGGGCAAAACAAAUGAGAGAAAAAGUCACAAUAGGGCUUCAACCAAAAUACACAAGGAGAUAUGAGCAUGAAAUAAAAACCAACAUUUUUUCCUAUCCCAACUGUAGGAAGAUCAGCCAGAACUCCAAGAUGACAAGCCAAUCCAAAGCCUACAAAACUUUCACAGUUUAGAGCUUUCUCCUGAGAGCAACCAAUAUUAACGACAUUUUGAGAAUAAACAGAGUAUUGUUUCCUGUUGAGACUAGUAAGCAGCAAAUCAGACCAACCAAUAACUAAAUGUAAGACCUAGAAACAGCAUCAUAUGGUUUUGCAUAUGGGGGAAUUCAUGUACUGGCCAAGGAAGUGUUGGAACUAAAGGCCCUUACAGAUUAUCUAAACAAUCCCACAAACACUGGCAAAUCAGAACGACAUGUGUAUUACUCCACGAACACAAAUAUAUUUUUAGGACAUGUAUCAGGUUUCAGCAACUUCAACUUAUUCAAAAUCUACAGUGUCAGAAUAAUCUUUUAUUGAAACUGGCUUAGCGAUUGUAAAUACAACAUUUUAUCAAGCAAAGUAUGUCGUACUUUUCAACAUUAGUUAGAAAAAAAUCUACCGGAUUUUUUAGAAGAAUAGGCUCUGACAUUUGUUCUCAUACUGAUCCCCUAAUACCUUGCUUUUUUCUCAGCACGCACUGGUCACACACAAAAAUACCUCUUGCAGUAAGUGUUACAAAAGACAAGGAUUUAGUAGAGAAUGGACAGACCUAUCUAGAACAACUAAUGUUGAUACUCCAAAACUGCUGUUAUCUUUCUAAAAGCACUCAUUUUCUGGUUUUCCUUUUUUAAAAAGAAAAUAUCUAUUAAAAAAAAAAAGAAAAUAUAUCUAUCUCCUUUAUGACUACAAGUACGUGCAAGUGCAACCUUCCAACAAAAAGCUCACUGUCCUUGUCUCUAGAAUGCAAAUCUUUAGCACAAAUAUAUUGUCAAAUAUGUACAAACAACAGGGAAUGCCAAAUGGCUAGUCAUCCCAAAAUUGUUUCUUGAGAUGUUAUACCAUCAUCGGAACAGCUUCAGUAUUAGUUUAUCAAGUAAUUUAAACAUUCAGAAACCAUUGUCUUCCCGGGCAUUUAGUUGGUUACUGAAUCCAUCCUCUUAACACCCCGAAAGGUUAUAACAAAUACUGCUUGCAACAAAUUCUCUAUAUCUCAAGAUUACAUUCUCAGCAAAACAAUGAAUAUAGUUUGUGUGUUAGCACCAAAAGCAAACCGCCUGCAACUUUUUGAACAUUUUUCACUAGCGGACAACGGAUACUUCAUGACCUGCAAUUCAAUAUAUGACUUUAAAACAUUUUAUAUGACCUACAAGUCAAUAUUAUAUUUCAAAGGUAUGAGAACCUCCAGAGGACUUUGAAAGAAGACAAUGCUUCCCAAAGGGAUGCCUACCUACCGCAAAUACCAAUCAGCUUAAGCAUCAUUACUAUCAUCAAGACUGCAGCACACUGUUCUCACUGGCUUGUUUACUAAAUCUCAACCAAAGUUAUGAGAACCUCUACAGGAGUCUGAAAGAGGAUAAUGUUUCCAAAGCCAUGCCUACCUACCGCAAAUAUAAAUGACUUAAGCUUCAAUACUAGCAUAAAGACUGCAGCACAUUACUCUCACUGACUUGCUUGUUUACUAAUCUCAAACGUUUGCCGCUGGUUUCCCUCUCAAGACUAUUAAGGAAGAACCUUUUUAUGCCAAAAGAGAUAAAUGUUACUUUAGCAUUCUCUUGCAGCUUUGGAUACUUCACCGAUAAGGUAAAACCAUGUUGUAAUGAAUCAUGUCAUAUAACAUUCUCUUAGCUUCUUGUCAAUAGUAAUAUAACAAGAACAACAAUUUUCAGCUAUCCAAGAUGAAUAUAAGUGCUUUCACUGUCAAAUUUUUUCCUUCUCAAAUCUGUUCUUGGUAGCAUACAAUAUAUUAUUCUGUACCUACUCACCUUAAUUUUAAAGUUUGUGAUGCUUUCACACCCAUAAACGAAACUUAAAUCCUCUUUCCCUUGCUCUUACUAUCUUAAUCUUCCAAUGCUCAAAAGGAUUCCAAGUACAUGAUCUAUCUCUAAUCGCACUAUGGUGUGGAGUAGACAUACUGAGUAUUGACAACUGUUAAAAGUUUUUAAUAGGAUGUAUAUUAGUUGCUAGAUUUGCAGCAAGGAAAAAGUAAUUCAUAUUUCAGCUGUCAAAACCAGAGGGUGCAGGAAGCAGUUAACGUGUAGAAAGUCAAACUGAUCGAAAUGUAUGAUGAAACUUCGAGACAUGAUAAAGUUUGAAAGUAAUAGCUUCCAAUAAUUAACUCUUUUUUUCUAGAUUUUUUUUUCCUUGUGUAGAAGAAAACGCGGUCAUGCUAAUGCAGGUUGGAUGAUGAAUACUCACUAAACUCAUGGCAAUAAAGAGCCCAUCCCUAAUGAUUUCAACAAGCGUAAGCACAAUUAUGUCAAUUUCAAGCCCAUAAGAAAAUUGUGAAACAUGACAUUACAAGUAUAGGAUCCAAGUCUAUUAGAAUAAGCAACUUAACAAAAUAAUUUAGGCACUAAUCUUUGAUAGGAUAUCCAUAACAAAUACACACUCUAAUACCACUUAUUAGUGGA
rnacentral:lncRNA from 1 species